rnacentral:rRNA from 1 species
GAUGAACGCUGGCGGCGUGCCUAAUACAUGCCAGUCGAACGAUUCUUCCCGCCCCUUUCCCUUCUCACGAUUGGGACGGAGAGGUGCGGACCGGGUGGAUAACCUACCGUUACCACCCCGAUAACGGCGGGAAACCCGUGGAAACACCGGCUAAUAUAUCGUAACGCUUUGUUCCACAUUGCAAGAGGGUUUAACUGGCACUUGGAGAUGGCUCCGCGCUGCAUUCGCUAGUUGGUAAGGUAACGGCUUACCAAGGCCACGAUGCAUAGCCGACCUGAGAGGGUGAUCGGCCACACUGGAACUGAGACACGGCCCAGACUCCUACGGGAGGCAGCAGUAGGGAAUCUUCGGCAAUGGACGAAAGUCUGACCGAGCAACGCCGCGUGAGUGAAGAAGGUUUUCGGAUCGUAAAACUCUGUUGUUAGAGAAGAACAAGGACGUUAGUAACUGAACGUCCCCUGACGGUAUCUAACCAGAAAGACACGGCUAACUACGUG